AAUCAACGCUGGCGGCGUGCCUCAGACAUGCAAGUCGAACGAUUAAACUUUCCUUCGGGAAAGAUAUAAAGUGGCGCACGGGUGAGUAACACGUAGGUAAUGUACCGUAGGGUGGGGAAUAACAAUCGGGAACGAUUGCUAAUACCGCAUACUGCAGCGGCACCGCGAGGUGCACGUUGUUAAAGGCGCAAUCCGCCUUAUGAGCAGCCGGCGGCAGAUUAGCUAGUUGGUAAGGUAAUGGCUUACCAAGGCUACGAUCUGUAACCGACCUGGGAGGGUGGUCGGUCACACUGACACUGAAUAACGGGUCAGACUCCUACGGGAGGCAGCAGUCGGGAAUUUUGGGCAAUGGACGAAAGCCUGACCCAGCAACGCCGCGUGAAGGAUGAAGUCUUUCGGGAUGUAAACUUCGUAAGAAUAGGAAGAAUAAAUGACGGUACUAUUUGUAAGGUCCGGCUAACUACGUGCCAGCCGCCGCCGUAAGAC
rnacentral:rRNA from 1 species